GAUGAAGAACGUAGCGAAAUGCGAUAAGUAAUGUGAAUUGCAGAAUUCAGUGAAUCAUCGAAUCUUUGAACGCAUCUUGCGCUCCUUGGUAUUCUGAGGAGCAUGCCUGUUUGAGUGUCAUUAAAUUCUCAACUACACUGACUUUGAAUUGGUGUGGCUUGGAUUUGGGUGGAAAAUUGUUGUGGGCUUUUUGUAUAGUCUGCUCCCCUGAAAUUGAUUAGCGGUACCUUUGUGGAACUGUCUACAGGUGUGAUAAUUAUCUACAUCUUAGACAUCUGCUGGAAUGCUGCUUUCUAAACCUUACUUGUAUUGACAAUCUUGACCUCAAAUCAGGUAGGACUACCCGCUGAACUUAAGAAUAUCAAUAAGCGGAGGA
rnacentral:misc_RNA from 1 species